GAUGAACGCUGGCGGCGUGCUUAACACAUGCAAGUCGAACGGGAAACCUUUUAUUGAAGCUUCGGCAGAUUUAGCUGGUUUCUAGUGGCGGACGGGUGAGUAACGCGUGGGUAACCUGCCUUAUACAGGGGGAUAACAGUCAGAAAUGGCUGCUAAUACCGCAUAAGCGCACAGAGCUGCAUGGCUCAGUGUGAAAAACUCCGGUGGUAUAAGAUGGACCCGCGUUGGAUUAGCUGGUUGGUGGGGUAACGGCCCACCAAGGCGACGAUCCAUAGCCGGCCUGAGAGGGUGAACGGCCACAUUGGGACUGAGACACAGCCCAGACUCCUACGGGAGGCAGCAGUGGGGAAUAGUGCAAAAUGGGGGGAGCCCUGAUGCAGCGACGCCGGGUGAAGGAAGAAAUAUGUCGAUAAGAAAACUGCUAUCAGCAAGGAAGGUAAUGACGGUACCUGACGAAGAAGCCCCGGCUAACUACGUG
rnacentral:rRNA from 1 species